rnacentral:rRNA from 1 species
GACGAACGCUGGCGGCGUGCUUAACACAUGCAAGUCGAACGAAGUGGCGAACGGGUGAGUAAUACGUGAGUAACCUGCCCUCCUUUGUGGGAUAAAACUUGGAAACGGGGUCUAAUACCGGAUAAUGGUGGAUGGGCUCGCGGCCUAUCAGCUGGUUGGUGGGUUGAUGGCCUACCAAGGCUGUGGCGGGUAGCCGGCCUGAGAGGGUGACCGGCACAAUGGGGAAUGAUACACGGUCGAGACUCCUACGGGAGGCGGCAGUGGGGAACAUUGGACAAUGGGGGCAAGCCUGAUGCAGCCAUGCCGCGUGUAUGAAGAAGGCCUUCGGGUUGUAAAGUACUUUCAGCGGGGGACCGUUACCCGCAGAAGAAGCACCGGCUAACUCCGUGCCAGCCGCCGCGGUAAUUC